rnacentral:rRNA from 1 species
GGGGAAUUUUCCGCAAUGGGCGAAAGCCUGACGGAGCAAUACCGCGUGAGGGAGGAAGGCUCUUGGGUUGUAAACCUCUUUUCUCAAGGAAUAACGCAAUGAAGGUACUUGAGGAAUAAGCAUCGGCUAACUCCGUGCCAGCAGCCGCGGUAAUACGGAGGAUGCAAGCGUUAUCCGGAAUGAUUGGGCGUAAAGGGUCCGCAGGUGGCAAUGUAAGUCUGCUGUCAAAGAAUGAGGCUCAACCUCAUCAAGGCAAGUGGAAACUACAUAGCUAGAGUACGGUCGGGGUAGAAGGAAUUCCUGGUGUAGCGGUGAAAUGCGUAGAGAUCAGGAAGAACAUCGGUGGCGAAGGCGCUCUGCUGGACCAUAACUGACACUCAGGGACGAAAGCUAGGGGAGCGAAUGGGAUUAGAUACCCCAGUAGUCCUAGCCGUAAACGAUGGAUACUAGGUGUUGUCUGUAUCGACCGGACAGUGCCGUAGCUAACGCGUUAAGUACUCCGGCCUGGGGAGUACGCACGCAAGUGUGAAACUCAAAGGUAACGG